AUGUGGGGGUCAUACGCUAAAAAUCUGAGGUGGGGGAUGUUGGGGUCCUGCGGAUGUUCCUGGGGUUCUUUGAGGGUUCUACUUUGGGGGGGGGAGAAGAUGCUUCAAUCUGGGGGUCAGAUGCUGUGCUUGUGGGUGCGGCGCUGGGGAUUUGGGAGUGUUUCAGGGCUAUCUCAGGGCACGCAGGCUCCCGUUGGUCUCUGUUGGGUACAUGCUGUUGGGGUGCUCACCGCACGGGCGUUCCUGGCUUCCCGCAGCAGCUCCUGGGCCUCUGCAAGGUCCCGCUGUGCCCCUGGGUGCCCCCGCAGCCCCCGCGCCGCCGCCUGCACUCGUCCGCUCAGCCGGCAGAGCAUCUGCAGCACAUCUCCUUGGCAACAGCCCUGGCAACCACCCUGGCAACUGGCAACCAUCCCGGCAUCCCCUCAACAACUGCCCCCAUCACCUCAGCAACCUCCACAGCCACUGCCCCAGCACCUCAUCAGCAACGCCUCCCAUCACCCCGGCAACCACCCUGGCAACCAUCCUAGCAACUUCCCAUUGCCCCAGCAAUCAGCCCGGCAUUAUGUCAGGAAUAUUUCCCAUCGCCCCAAUAACCACUCCAGCAACCAGCCUCGCAACUGCUCCGACAAUCUCUCAUCUUGGCAACCACUCCAGAAACAACAGCAGAUUCUGCUCUUACUGCCCCAGCAACUGCCCUGGAAACCACCAAGGCAAUCCCUCAGCAACACUUAUAAUCACCCCAAAAGCUGCCUAGCAACCACCCGAGUAGCCACCCAAGCAUCCUUCUGGCCGCUAUCCCGUAUCCCUGUCACUUCCCACAUCUGCCCCACGGCUGCCACAAAUUGGCCCCGCAUCUGUCCUCUCCUGCCCCACAAGCGUCCCCAGUCCCCAGGUUCCCCAUGUCCCUGGGGAAAGAUUACUUGCUCAGCCGUGCUGGUGACAAUGCCCCGCUGCAGCCGGAGCACCUGCUCUGGUGGCACCUUGGGACCGCGGCCAUUGCGUAGGAGGCACCAUUGGAUCUUCAGGAGGGAAAUUGGGAUGCCUGAGACUCCCAGACACAAAUUUUAG
rnacentral:lncRNA from 1 species